CGACAAGCGUUCCACAAGUUCUCGGCGUAGAGGAUGUCAUUCAUCAAGGAGCGAGCUGACCUGCUGAAGAGGGGAACCGGGGCGGCCCAGCUGAAGUACGAGAAGACGGGUGGCUGCGCCACCGGCGAAGGCGACCGCUACGAGGAGCGCUGCUUGGCCCUGCUGUUUCUGAGGGGCGUCCGGGAGGGGCUGCAGUUCGCCCUCUCGGCCAACGACGCCGCCGGCGGCAAGU